UCCGGUUUGUCACCGGCAGUCUGGCGUGAGUCCCCAACUUAAUGCUGGCAACACGCCACGGGGGUUGCGCUCGUUGCGGGACUUAACCCAACAUCUCACGACACGAGCUGACGACAGCCAUGCAGCAUCUGUGGUGCACCCUCGAAGGUCACACGUUUCCGUGCGCUUGCAGCACCAUGUCAAGUCCAGGUAAGGUGGGGAUGACGUAAGCCUAUCGAGA
rnacentral:misc_RNA from 1 species